rnacentral:rRNA from 1 species
CUACGGGGGGCUGCAGUGAGGAAUAUUGCGCAAUGGGGGAAACCCUGACGCAGCGACGCCGCGUGGAGGAUGACGCAUUUCGGUGUGUAAACUCCUUUUAUAUGUCAAGAAAAUGACGGUAGCAUAUGAAUAAGCUCCGGCUAACUCCGUGCCAGCAGCCGCGGUAAUACGGAGGGAGCAAGCGUUACUCGGAAUCACUGGGCGUAAAGGACGCGUAGGCGGGAUAGAAAGUCAGGUGUGAAAUCCUAUGGCUCAACCAUAGAACUGCACUUGAAACUUCUAACCUAGAGUAUGGGAGGGGAAGAUGGAAUUAGUGGUGUAGGGGUAAAAUCCGUAGAUAUCACUAGGAAUACCAAAAGCGAAGGCGAUCUUCUGGAACAAUACUGACGCUAAGGCGUGAAAGCGUGGGGAGCAAACAGGAUUAGAUACCCGCGUAGUC